ACAAAAUAUGCCUUUAAAAAAAAUAACAAAAAAUUCCUAUCUCUAAACCUAAUAACACAAUCCUAGAAUACACAAAUCUGCAAACACUUCUCCGUUCAGUGAUAAAGGAGACGACAUAGAACCUGUAAUAACAAAAAAAUAAUAAUUUGUAUUGCUGUAGAACAGUGGUCCGCAGGUUGGAGACCACUGCUGUAGAAGACAAAAAUGUCACGGAUGGAGACUCAGCCAGUCUAGACCUAGAAUCUAAUACUUCUUUAACUUCAAAUUGCCCCUUUAAGCAAAAAAAACCAAAAUAGAGGACACAAAUGAUCAGCCAAAAAUGAUGAUGAUAAAGACGAACGCCAUGCAAACCACAGAAAAGGCAGCAUCAGAAAACUUUAGACACCCUACUAAUGCUCCACAAGGCAUUUAAAAUGGAGAUAAACAGCAACAUGAAAAAGACAGAAGAAAGAGUAGAAAAAGCUGAGUAAAAAAUUAAACACAUUGGCCCUUAUUUACUAAGUGUUGUGUAGGUUUCUUUGUGGGUUUUAAUUCCCUACAAUUUAUUUUCCACGGUAUUUACUAAGGUUUCCCUACAUUUUCCACUUUCCCUACACUUUGCUUUUUUUUACACAUGCUCUGAUCUGUCGGGUUUUCUUCAGCUCAAAUCCACCACAUUUUAUGUGGAAACCUUAGUAAAUAUGUUGGGUUUUUGUGAAAAAUGUCAGGAACACGCCCCUUUUUUGAGACCACCCCCCUUUUCCCGGUGAUCAUGCCCCUUUUUUUAGGUUUUCUUAGCAAAAUGAAGAGUUAGUCAGGUUUUUUUUCAAUUCUGACGCAAAUUCUGGCGCAGACAGAAUUUCUGGCGCAAUGCGACAGAAUCUGGCGCAUAACCCGACAAAACAUGUCGGGUUUGCAACAGUAAAUAAGGGCCAAUUGGGGAGAUUUAUCAAACAUUUUUUUUGCCCAUAGCAGCCAAUCAGAUCGCUUCUUUCAUUUUUUUAAAAAGGCCUCUGAAAAGUGAAGGAAGAAAUCCGAUUGGUUGCUAUGGGCAACUAGUCCACUUUUCCUUUGCAUAGGUUUUGAUAAAUCUCCCCAAUUGAGACCAAAAUGGGAGAAGUUGCAAAGGCUCAUAACAAAUUAAUGAAUGACCAUGAUAACACUAAAGAAGAUGUAACAUUCCUAAAAAAAAAAAAUAGGGGAAGACUAACAUAGAAGGAACAACAUAAAAAUAAGAGAGAUCUCAGAAGAAAUAGGGAAUACCAUCUAGAAAAAUAUGUUUUAUCAAAUGUAUAGUACCUGGCAGCUUACCAAGAGAUUUGAUUAUAGACAGUCCACCGCCUCCCCAGACCAAAGGGCCUGCAGAGAUUAUCCCUAGGGACACCAUAGCAAGGACCCAUUUGUUUAAAACAAAAGAAAAACUGAUGAAAAAUAUGAGAAAAACAAAAGACAUGCCUUUCCUAUACAAAGACAUUUAGGUCUUUACACACUAUCAAAAGCGACAAUUAAUGCGAAGCAUGAAUUUCAACCAAUAACUGCUGCCCUAAGAAAAAACUAAAAAUACCAUGUCGCUGGGAGGUAUCCAACAAAGCUCAUUUUUAAGGAUGAUGGAACUAAGCAUGUCUUGUUCACAACAGCACAAAAAGUGGGAAGAACAAAACCUGAUGGAACAUAUCUCACACACAAGAUUGGUAUCACAUGAAUAAGACUUUCAGUCCAAAAUGUUACCUAAUUUCCUUUUAAUUGUUCCCCUCCUUCCUUCUGAAUGAACAAUAUCUCUGUAGACCUACCCUGGUCUAUGUGGAAUUAAUACUUCUGCACUUUUUUGAUUUAUCUCUACUACAUCUUUACAGAGUUUAAUUGUUAUGCUAUGUUUGUAUCUUUGAUAGAAAUGUUAUGAGGAGAGGAUCACUACCUGCCAGGUAUAUGAAGCGCCGGGACUUCGCCUUCUCCUUCAACUCCCAACACCAAUAAUCAGUUUCUGGCCAGUGAAGAGACAUUCUCAUCUCUCCAUUACCAAUUCCGAAUGGGGAAAUCCACAAUAUCUACAUUGGUUUCGGAAACAUGUGAGGCUAUAUGGAGGAACCUUGAGCCCCAGUAUCUUCCUGAGCCUAAAACCGCUAUGUGGAAAGAAGCAGCAGAGGGUUUCUGUAGACAUGCCAACUUUACAAAUUGUGUGGAGGCACUGGAUGGAAAACAUGUGAGGAUAAAGAAGCCAUCUGGAACUGGAUCACUAUUUUAUAAUUAUAAAAAGUAUUUUUCUAUUAACCUCAUGGCAAUAUGUGAUGCCAGCUAUAAGUUCUUGGCAGUUGACAUUGGGGCCUAUGGUUAAAACAACAAUUCCCAUAUUUUUAAGGAAUCAAAUUUAGGUAAAGCCCUGUAUGCUGGUACCUUCCAGAUCCCGGACCCUAAACCAUUACCAGGUACAGAUGGACCUUCCCUGCCCCAUAAAAUAGUGGCUGAUGAGGCAUUUCAGAUGGCCCAAAACUUGUUAAAGCCCUACUCGGGGAGAAGGCUGAAUCCACAGAGGCGUGUGUUUAAUUACCGAUUGACGCGUGCAGGCAGAUAUGUGGAGUGUUCCUUUGGGAUUCUUACCAAUAAAUGGCGGUUACAUACAACAAGCAUCCAAGUAAAGCCGGAAUCUGACAUGGUCAUUAAAGCUUGUGUGGUACUUCAUAAUUUUGUGCUAAAUAUGGAGCCGUGUGGAACACCCACCAUGGAAGAAAUUACAGAAGUCAAUCUACCAGGAAUGGAGCCCUACCAUUUUCGAACCACUGUUUCUGUCAUGCAGAUACGUGAUCAAUUUUCUAAUUACUUCAACUCAGAACAAGGUGCCUUGCCAUGGCAGGAUGAUAUGUAGAUGAUGUCUUCAAGGACAAUUAAUAUCAUCAUUAUGAAGCAGAGGACUACAUGUGGAUAUUUGCACACCUUUUUUUUUUAUUUUUUUCCUUUUUUUUUUAAAUGAAUAUACAAAACAACUUUUGGGAAAAAAUAAACUUUACUUUUUUUUAUA